UACGGGGGGAGCAAGCGUUGUUCGGAUUUACUGGGCGUAAAGGGCGGGUAGGCGGCCACCGCAAGUCAGUUGUGAAAUCUCUGGGCUUAACCCAGAAAGGUCAACUGAUACUGCGGGGCUAGAGUGCAGAAGGGGCAACUGGAAUUCUUGGUGUAGCGGUGAAAUGCGUAGAUAUCGAGAGGAACACCUGCGGCGAAGGCGGGUUGCUGGGCUGACACUGACGCUGAACUGCGAAAGCUAGGGGAGCGAACGGG
rnacentral:rRNA from 1 species